CGGUGGGACACCCUUCCCCAACGAAGGGCGCAUAUCUGUGAGGAUACCAUUA
rfam:Jannaschia sp. CCS1, complete genome.